GUCUACGUAGCUCAGUUGGAUAGAGCGGCCCCCUCCUAAGGGGCAGGUCGGGGGUUCAAUUCCCUCCGUGGACACCA
rnacentral:tRNA from 2 species